UGGGGGGUGUGGUGGGGAGAUGGGGCUGGAAGGAGAAGCAGGGUGAGGGAGGCAUAGAGGAUCCACUGCCAUCUUCCAUUGGUGAUCCCUCCUCUUCUCUCUCCCUCCCUCCCAUCCGUCUAUGUAUCCCUUCCUGCAAUACUCUUGCAUUGCACACUUAUAUGUACAAAGCACUAGGAGAGCCGUACCAUCCCUAUGCUCAACAAAGCUGGGUCAAGCAGUUAAGACGGCACAUAGGUCACUGUGAAACCAGUCGGUCCAGGCUCAGCAUUACUUGUCCAGUGGCUCCCCACUUUCUGACACAGGGGUCCCAGACUUUCUGGACAGUCUAUAUUUUCUCAGGGAGUCUUGUGUGCCCACCAUUGUGGGCCCCAGCGUCUAUGCCUUGAUGUCCCAGCCUGACCUCACCACCACCCUGAUUGGCCCUAAGCUACAUCUCCAGGCCCCUUUCCCUGACACAUUUCCCUUGUCUUCGCACUCAGAAGCUAUACAGCGGCACCGCCGGAACCUGGCUGAGUGGUUCAGCCGGCUGCCCAGGGAGGAGCGCCAGUUUGGCCCGACCUUUGCCCUAGACACGGUCCACGUUGACCCUGUGAUCCGCGAGAGCACCCCCGAUGAGCUACUUCGCCCACCUGCGGAGCUGGCCCUGGAGCAUCAGCCACCCCAGGCCGGGCACCCCCCACUGGCCCUGUCUCAGCUCUUUAACCCAGAUGCCUGUGGGCGCCAGGUGCAGACAGUGGUGCUGUAUGGGACAGUGGGCACAGGCAAGAGCACGCUGGUGCGCAAGAUGGUUCUGGACUGGUGUUACGGGCGGCUGCCGGCCUUCGAGCUGCUCAUCCCCUUCUCCUGUGAGGACCUGUCAUCCCUGGGCCCUGCCCCAGCCUCCUUGUGCCAACUUGUGGCCCAGCACUACACGCCCCUGAAGGAGGUUCUGCCCCUGAUGGCUGCUGCUGGGUCCCACCUCCUCUUUGUGCUCCAUGGCUUAGAGCAUCUCAACCUCGACUUCCGGCUGGCAGGCACAGGACUUUGUAGUGACCCGGAGGAACCACAGGAACCAGCUGCUAUCAUCGUCAACCUGCUGCGCAAAUACAUGCUGCCUCAGGCCAGCAUUCUGGUGACCACUCGGCCCUCUGCCAUUGGCCGUAUCCCCAGCAAGUACGUGGGCCGCUAUGGUGAGAUCUGUGGUUUCUCUGAUACCAACCUGCAGAAGCUCUACUUCCAGCUCCGCCUCAACCAGCCGGACUGCGGGUGUGCCGCUGGGGGUUCAGGUGUUUCCGCCACACCAGCUCAGCGCGACAACCUGGUGCAGAUGCUCUCCCGGAACCUGGAGGGGCACCACCAGAUAGCCGCUGCCUGCUUCCUGCCGUCCUACUGCUGGCUCGUUUGUGCCACCUUGCACUUCCUGCAUGCCCCCACGCCUGCUGGGCAGACCCUUACAAGCAUCUAUACCAGCUUCCUGCGCCUCAACUUCAGCGGGGAAACCCUGGACAGCACUGACCCCUCCAAUUUGUCCCUGAUGGCCUAUGCAGCCCGAACCAUGGGCAAGUUGGCCUAUGAGGGGGUGUCCUCCCGCAAGACCUACUUCUCUGAAGAGGAUGUCUGUGGCUGCCUGGAGGCUGGCAUCAAGACGGAGGAGGAGUUUCAGCUGCUGCACAUCUUCCGCCGGGAUGCCCUGAGGUUUUUCCUGGCC
rnacentral:sRNA from 1 species